rnacentral:rRNA from 1 species
AAUGAACGCUAGCGGCAGGCUUAACACAUGCAAGUCGAACGGCAGCGCGGGGCAACCUGGCGGCGAGUGGCGAACGGGUGAGUAAUAUAUCGGAACGUACCCUGGAGUGGGGGAUAACGUAGCGAAAGUUACGCUAAUACCGCAUACGAUCUAUGGAUGAAAGCGGGGGAUCGCAAGACCUCGCGCGAUUGGAGCGGCCGAUAUCAGAUUAGGUAGUUGGUGAGGUAAAGGCUCACCAAGCCGACGAUCUGUAGCUGGUCUGAGAGGACGACCAGCCACACUGGGACUGAGACACGGCCCAGACUCCUACGGGAGGCAGCAGUGGGGAAUUUUGGACAAUGGGCGCAAGCCUGAUCCAGCAAUGCCGCGUGCAGGAUGAAGG